GACGAACGCUGGCGGCGUGCCUAAUACAUGCACGUAGAACGAGUUGCGAACGGGUGAGUAACGCGUUGUAACCUUCCUCAUAGCGGGGGAUAACUAUUGGAAACGAUAGCUAAUACCGCAUACUUUGAGAUGGACCUGCUUUGUAUUAGCUAUUUGGUGAGGUAAAGGCUCACCACGGCGACGAUCCCUAGCUGGUCUGCGAGGAUGCCCAGCCACACUGGAACGAAGACAGGGUCCAGACUCCUACGGAGGGCAGCAGUGGGGAAUAUUGCACAAUGGGCGCAAGCCUGAGGCAGCCAUGCCGCGUGUAUGAAGAAGGCCUUCGGGUUGUAAAGUACUUUCAGCGGGGAGGCGUUACCCGCAGAAGAAGCACCGGCUAACUCCGUGCCAGCAGCCGCGGUAAUAG
rnacentral:rRNA from 1 species